rnacentral:rRNA from 1 species
UACGUAGGGAGCAAGCGUUGUCCGGAAUCAUUGGGCGUAAAGCGCGCGUAGGCGGCCCUGUAAGUCCGUUGUGAAAGUCAAAGGCUCAACCUUUGAAAGCCGAUGGAUACUGCAGGGCUAGAGUCCGGAAGAGGCGAGUGGAAUUCCUGGUGUAGCGGUGAAAUGCGCAGAUAUCAGGAAGAACACCCGUGGCUAAGGCGGCUCUCUAGUACGGUACUGACGCUGAGACGCGAAAGCGUGGGGAGCGAACAGG